rnacentral:rRNA from 1 species
GUGUCAGCAGCCGCGGUAAUACGUAGGGUGCGAGCGUUGUCCGGAAUUAUUGGGCGUAAAGAGCUUGUAGGCGGUUUGUCGCGUCUGCUGUGAAAAUUCAGGGCUUAACCCUGGACGUGCAGUGGGUACGGGCAGACUAGAGUGUGGUAGGGGAGACUGGAAUUCCUGGUGUAGCGGUGGAAUGCGCAGAUAUCAGGAGGAACACCGAUGGCGAAGGCAGGUCUCUGGGCCAUUACUGACGCUGAGAAGCGAAAGCAUGGGGAGCGAACAGGAUUAGAUACCCUGGUAGUCC